rnacentral:rRNA from 1 species
CCUACGGGGCGCAGCAGUGAGGAAUAUUGGUCAAUGGGAGAGAUCCUGAACCAGCCAAGCCGCGUGAGGGAAGACGGCCCUAUUGGUUGUAAACCUAUUUUGUCGGAGAACAAAACCCGGGACGAGUCCCGGACUGCGUGUAUCCGAAGAAAAAGCAUCGGCUAACUCCGUGCCAGAAGCCGCGGUAAUACGGAGGAUGCGAGCGUUAUCCGGAUUUAUUGGGUUUAAAGGGUGCGUAGGGGGUCCGUUAAGUCAGCGGUAAAAUUGCGGGGAUCAACCCCGUCGAGCCGCUGAAACAGGCAGAA